UACGGAGGGUGCGAGCGUUGUCCGGAAUCACUGGGCGUAAAGGGCGCGUAGGCGGCGAGGAUAGUCAACGGUGAAAGCUUGGGGCUCAACCCCGAGUCGGCCGUCGAUACUUCCUUGCUUGAGCACUGUAGAGGCAGAUGGAAUUCCGGGUGUAGCGGUGGAAUGCGUAGAGAUCCGGAAGAACACCGGUGGCGAAGGCGGAUCUCUGGGCCUUACCUGACGCUCAGGUGCGAAAGCUAGGGGAGCGAACAGG
rnacentral:rRNA from 1 species